AAUGUAUAUAAUAGUGCUUAUUUCAUAUUUACGCUGCUAAUCUCCACACAAAACAACAUUAUGUACGGUUUUUAAAAUCUCCAAACCAAAAUGGAUUUUCCUGAAAUUUUGAGUAGCUAAAUCUUCAUGAUCUGCAUCUCCAGUAAAACCCCAAAAAAUCAGGAAAAAAAACACUGUAAAUUUUUUUACAAUACCAUUUUGUGUGAAGAUUAGCAGGUGGCAAUUAUAUAUAUGUUUUAAAAUAAAUGAUUCUCAACUUGAAUCAAUAGAAGGGAAGAUACGAAAACAUCUAGAUUAUUUAAAAAAUCAUGCUGUCUUUGUCAUGCCCUUCUGUAACGAGGGUUAUCUUCAUUGGAAUAUGAUCCAUGCCUUUGUCCUGAAAAACCUCCAGCAUAAGAUAAAAUGCCAAAGUAAAAGAAUUCUGAUUGCAGACUGCAGAGAAUAUGAAAAGAAUGGUUUCAUUGAAGCAAAGUGAUUCAAAUGAUUUUUUUUAUAGAGGUUAAUAUGAAUAAACUAAAUGGUAUCUAUUUUUUUCAGCUGGGCAUUUUUGUAGCUCGGUUGGGUAUUUAAAAGAGCUGAGUUGCAGAUCUUAUGUGAGAGGCAGCUGCAGUUAGAUAGAGUUACAUCUGUAGAUUGGACAGUGAACUCGAGAAAAGGAGAGGAGGUUCAAGGCACAGAGAAAGCAAGACAAAGGUGACUUUUAGGUACUGAUUCAUAGAAAAAAAAUAUUAAUAUUUGCUAAAAUUUUCAUAGGACUUUAGACAGGGUUAAAAAGGGGUUUGGGUGAUUCAUUACUAUGAAGUUCUUGUUCCAGUCACCCUGCUGCUCUUGCUUUUGUUUUAUGAGAGCCAAAAAGAAGAAGAAAUAAUAGCCAGCCCCCCCAAGCAAGAAUGCUACUGCACCUGCUCCUGAAGGCUAGGGAACAUUAAUAUCCUCAUAAUAUUUGAUGGAUUCCUAAUGGAAGUAGCAUAUUUAUGCUUUGUUGUUAGUGUUAGUUUUCAAUUUGGAGCAUAAAUAAAGAUUAAGGGAUUUUUUAGUAUGUUUUAAGCAUGUAGAAUGCUUCUCUACAAGAGCAAUUCAUGUAGAUGGAGCUAUGUUAUAAUAUAGUUUGAUUAUUCUUGUGGGCUGUAUUGUUUCUGGAUAUUGGGCUGCUAUGAAGAUAAAUGUUAAAGUUUCUUUAUUUUA